rnacentral:ribozyme from 1 species
GCAAGGAAGAAGGAGAGAAAAAAGAAAAAAAAAAAUAGUCAGUUUGGUUGUGUGGAAAGGAGAGUGUGUGUUUUUCAAGGGGUGUGUGUUUUGUUUUUUUUUUUUUUUUUUU